CAGUAGCCGCGGGAAUACCGAGGGUGCGAGCGUUAAUCGGAUUUACUGGGCGUAAAGCGUGCGUAGGCGGCUUCUUAAGUCGGAUGUGAAAUCCCUGAGCUUAACUUAGGAAUUGCAUUCGAUACUGGGAAGCUAGAGUAUGGGAGAGGAUGGUAGAAUUCCAGGUGUAGCGGUGAAAUGCGUAGAGAUCUGGAGGAAUACCGAUGGCGAAGGCAGCCAUCUGGCCUAAUACUGACGCUGAGGUACGAAAGCAUGGGGAGCAAACAGGAUUAGAUACCCCCGUAGUCCCUGUCUCUUAUAC
rnacentral:rRNA from 1 species